rnacentral:rRNA from 1 species
UGGGGGAUAUUGCACAAUGGGCGCAAGCCUGAUGCAGCGACGCCGCGUGGGGGAUGAAGGCCUUCGGGUUGUAAACUUCUUUUGCUCUGAACAAGGCGCACUUUGGGGUGUGUUGAGUGUAGGGGUUGAUUAGCGCCGGCUAACUACGUGCCAGCAGCCACGGUAAUACGUAGGGCGCGAGCGUUGUCCGGAAUUAUUGGGCGUAAAGGGCUUGUAGGUGGCUGGUUGCGUCUGUCGUGAAAGCUCAUGGCUUAACUGUGGGUUUGCGGUGGGUACGGGCUGGCUUGAGUGCAGUAGGGGAGGCUGGAAUUCCUGGUGUAGCGGUGGAAUGCGCAGAUAUCAGGAGGAAUACCGGUGGCGAAGGCGGGUCUCUGGGCUGUUACUGACACUGAGGAGCGAAAGCAUGGGGAGCGAACAGG